GCGCCGUUGGUCUAGUGGUUAUGAUUCCUGCCUUCCAUCGUCAACAACGAGUUAGCAUGAGAGACGUGUUCGAUUCACGUACGGCGCA